AACGUAGGUGGCAAGCGUUAUCCGGAUUUACUGGGCGUAAAGCAUGUGCAGACGGGUUGGUAAGUGGUGUAUGAAAGCGUUCGGCUUAACCGAGCAAGCGUAUGCCAGACUGCCAGUCUUGAGAGUGGGAGAGGGAUGUGGAAUUCCUGGUGUAGCGGUGAAAUGCGCAGAUAUCAGGAGGAGCACCAAUUGCGAAGGCAGCUCGCUGGGACGUAACUGACGCUGAGACGCGAAAGCGUGGGGAGCAAACAGG
rnacentral:rRNA from 1 species